AUUGAACGCUGGCGGCAUGCUUUACACAUGCAAGUCGAACGGUAACAGGCCGCAAGGUGCUGACGAGUGGCGAACGGGUGAGUAAUGCAUCGGAACGUGCCCAGUCGUGGGGGAUAACGCAGCGAAAGCUGUGCUAAUACCGCAUACGAUCUAUGGAUGAAAGCGGGGGACCGUAAGGCCUCGCGCGAUUGGAGCGGCCUAUGUCAGAUUAGGUAGUUGGUGGGGUAAAGGCUCACCAAGCCAACGAUCUGUAGCUGGUCUGAGAGGACGACCAGCCACACUGGGACUGAGACACGGCCCAGACUCCUACGGGAGGCAGCAGUGGGGAAUUUUGGACAAUGGGCGCAAGCCUGAUCCAGCAAUGCCGCGUGCAGGAAGAAGGCCUUCGGGUUGUAAACUGCUUUUGUACGGAACGAAAAGGUUUGGGUUAAUACCCUGGGCCGAUGACGGUACCGUAAGAAUAAGCACCGGCUAACUACGUGCCAGCCGCCGCCGUAA
rnacentral:rRNA from 1 species